ensembl:lncRNA
GAGCAACUCGUCGGAGCUCACGGGUUGUUAAUUUGAGUCUCCACAGUGAGUGACUGGCAUGUAGCCUGGGUCCUUGGAAGCUGGGGUUCCCAGGCUGUUUGGGUUGGAAUGGAGUUCCAGGAGUUAUUCCUUCUUCCUCUCACUGGACCAUGACUUCACAACCACCCUGGAGCUAGGACCUGCUGGGAGGUGUGAACACAACCUCACGGCCCUCAUCAGAGGGCGUUGGUCACAUUUGCAUGCAAGCUCUGGGCUGGAGCCAGAAUUUCUGUCACUUUCCAGGACAGAGAGCAGAGGCAGACCUCUGGCCAGUUCACAGCGAGGGCACCGCCUGUCUGCUCUGGAGAUACCGCUCUUGGGCUGGUUCCCUGAUGCGUCAUGUCCUGGAAGUGCCCAGGGAGGACACUGGACUGGCCGCCCCUGCAGCCCUGUCUGUCUGUCGGACUCCUCUGGGCAAGACUGAAGCUUCUUGCUUUGGCUGCUGGUUUUCACACAAAAGGAAGACCUCUGCAUCUUUCUUUGUCCACUGAGUUUCUGUGAUCAGCUGGGUUAUUUCAGGGUUGCUGGGUAGUCGAGAGCAAAGGUGAAAAGAGAGACCUCGAGCUAGCCUGCAGCGUGUGUGUGUGUGUGGGGGGGCAUGGAGCCCUGCAGCCAGGUUCCUGUUCUGCUGAAAUGUGCACCCAAGUAUUGUGCUGCUCAGGGCCCUGGAGAGACUGAGCAGAAAGAUGCUAGAGGACUGACACAGCUCUGCUUGGAGUGUGUACAUGUGGCUAUGUCCCACUGCCCAGCGCAGAAGCUGCCAGGAGCUGCGCUGGGCAGUGAGACAGCGUUAUAGGAAAGUCUUCACCCUUUAGUGUGGUCGCAGCACAUCGGGCUGGGGAUGCCUUGCUGUCCUUGGUGAUCCUGGAGGGAAUGCGGACCGUUGGUGGCUGGUGGGGCUCCAGUGUGCGCUGUGCACCCCCAGACCUGUGGCGCAGGCCCUCCCCACGCUGUGCUGGGGGGCUGCUCCUAGUGGGCCCAGAAGGGGCUUGCAGGGUAUCAGUAUUUUUUCAGCUUCACCGUGCUCCAGACGGCCUUGCCCUGUGUUUACAAAGGCUUGUGUUUUGAAAGACCCAACCUAGACCUAUUUUGGUGACGGAGACGAGUCACGGGCCUGGCCAGAGAAGGUGCUGUGGGAAGUCAGAUUCAUUUACGAGCAGAGCAGCAGGGCACCUGGCCUCCUGUGGUCCAGCUCAUGGCUCGUCUGUGGAUUUGUGAGUUCCACCAGCCUGCUCCUCAGGACUGAGCCCCCAGCAGGCACAGCAUCUAUUGUCACUCUGGAAAGCAAGUGUUUUUUUGUGUUUUAGUGGAAGGCAGAUGCCACAUUCGCCUGUAUCUGGAGUCUUGGAAGCUUGACUGCCCUAUGUUCUCCUACAGAUGGACCUGAGAGCUUGUUGGGAGGUCCUAGCAGAGGGCGCAGCUACUCAUGCACCCUUGACUGAAGAUCGGUCCUUCUGCCUCCAGAAAGGUCCUCUUGGUCUGAGCCUAUAGCUCGGGAGGGACGUGCAUGGAGUGCUGAAGGAGGAAGGGGGCACUGCCCUGCCAGCUGGGUCAGCAGAAUCAGCCCUGCUGCUCAAUGGGGACAGGUGUCACAGUGCGAUCACCGUUGUAUCUGGAAAGGACAUUGGUACUUUGAGAAUUGAGAUGGGGCAGAGAUCCCGCCCAGAAACAGAGAUGAAGUCCACUCCCUGGUCAGACUGUGUCUCGGGACAGAUUUUGGGACCAGAGGGAGUGGCUGGUGGAUUCAGGCCCCGAGGUCUUCCUGCCAAGGGCUGCCGUUUGUGGGCCUUGAUGGUCAGCCUGCCCACCCUGGCUAACUGAUGGGCAGGUGCAGGGCCAGCCCUCUGAACCUGGGUGUCCCUGAAGUCGGUGCAGCCAAGGGCACUUCCUGCAGCUCCCACCACCCUCCCUACAGCCCAUUUUCCUCAAGGUGGGGCCCCUGGGAGUCUGGUCCUGGGACGGUACUGAGCACUGCCUAUGUUGUGAGCUCGCUCAUGGGGCGCCCGGUUGCAGAGGCAACCGCCUGCCUGCACCUGCAGGAGACGGGUGUCUGGAGGCUCCUGCAGCCUUUGCCCUUUGCUGUGCCAGUAGGGCUCAGGCCCAUGGUCUAGUUCCGUCUUGCUGGGGAGAAGCUCAGGCCCUUGCCUCCGCCAGAGAUUCUGGGCUUGUUCCUCCUUCUGUUUAUUUCCUUUUGCUUGCCAGCUUCCUUCCAGGAGGUAUUUAAAGAUAGCUACAAAAUUACAUAUACUUUUAAAAUAAUGAUAAAAGAUUGGGGGUUUUAGGAGAGAGAAAAUAGGAGUCUGCACAGGCUUUAUUAAAUCAGCAAAGUACUUCAGACACGUUGGCUUCCUAGAACCCUUUAUUUACAAGCGUCUGGGAAACUCCACUGAAAUAGUUUUGUUCAGGAUUCUAAUAUUUCACGUUUUACCUGAAAGGAGGAAAUUUCAAGUCCCCCCCCAGUGUCACCCUGUGGUCCCUUGCCCUCGAGGGCUGACUGCACUCGGCCUAACCCCAGGGUGGGAGCAAGCCUGAUCCCACCCAGCCCAGCCCUGGUAGUCCCUGCUCAGUACCAGAAUCACCAGGGAGGGUCUAGGUAAGACAGACCACGUGCUGGUCAGUUUGGGGACCACCUGCAGUUUUGGCUGAAUUUAGCCUCGCAGGAAGUACCACCACCCCGAUUUAAUACUCACUCAGGACUUUGCCAAAUGCUUGCUGCAUGGACAGCAUUGUGACCCUCGCUUUCCAGAUGUGGAAGCUGAGACCAGGCUGAGUCCACCAGCUGGAGGUGCUGGAAUUGCCCCCAGUGCACGUGCUGGUCCUGCCAGCCCUUCUGUCUUGCUUUGCAGAACUCCCAGCAGGCACAGUGCUGAAGGCAGGCCUCCCAGGUCCCCUGCCUCCUACAGGGCGAGGGGAUGAGCCCUGAUGGCGUGCGUGCGUGGGCUGCAGGGCCUGUGCCUGGUGGCAUGUUCCCUGUGUGUCACCCCAGUCUCCCUCCUGAAGCUCCUGAAAGCAGUGUGGGUGAGAACCCAACCUGAACCUUCCCUGCUUUCUGCCAGUUUCCAGGAAAAAUGCUCCAAACGCGAGGGGCCUGCAGUACUCGCUCCAGAGCCUCGCCCUGCUCUCAGUUCAGCUUUCUUGCUCAGCGUGAGCCCCUCCAGGUCUGGGUAACUCCGCUCUGUGGUGUGGUUGUAGGAGACAGACUGCAGCUUGGUGAAGCAGGAGCAGCACAGCCUGGCUUCUGAGCCCACCAUCCCUAGCAGCAGGACUGCUGUGUCACCCUGGAGACUGGAGGACUGAGGACCCAGCCCUGGGCCUCCGGGGGCUCCUUCUUCCCAGGAGCAUCUUCCUUGUGCUUUUUAGGUGUGACCUAGUAACUGUUUGUUGGGUGGAUGAACCACCAGCCUAAUAAAUCAGUUUGCGGGUUUAACUGCUACACGGGCAUCACGCCAGGCUGGUAACAGCCGAGCAUGCACAGGGUUGACCCAACGUGUGGUCCUGCUCAUGGCCCGGCGUCUGCAGGAAGCUGGCGCUUUUCUUACUGAUCUUCAAGGCAGGUUUGUGCUUGUAGCAGCACUCAACUCUGGUGACCAAAGGAGGCAAGUUGAGAAGAAUGUGACUCUUUUUUUGGUUCCGUGGGAAUAGGGUGUCUGAAGGGGACUUGGGUCUUCCAGUGAGAAAUGGUGCAUGUUGCAUGUCUCCUUGUGUUGGAAUAAGUCUGCUGCCGUGAGUAAGGUUUUGAGAGCGGCCCAUCACUGCUGAAGUUCAGAUGCGGGCAUGCGUUUGCUUCCCACCCACCCUCAGUUGUGUGCUGUGUUGGGAACCCAGGCAGUGCCCCAGCUCUGUGCUGACUGGUGGGCUGGCCUCGGGGCCUUUGACACCCACCAUGCGCUUGUGUAGGCCCUGCCGAUAUUGCCAUCAUGGGCAGAAACCCACACAGUCCUGGGGUGGAUGCCUGUGGGAACCUGGUGGGUCCCAGGGCAUCAGGACAGGGGUGACUCGGGCCGGCUUCUGCACUCAGUCAUCUGAAGCAGCAGGAGGUCAUUGCAGGGAGAUCCUAUCACACAGGAGUGUGAGUCACACUGUCCUCCUGUGACCUGGUCCACACUGCUGGGGGAGGGGGAGCCUUGGGCGAUCUGAGGCCUGUGGCAAGUCCCUGAGUUACAUGGGGUGAGAAGCCGUGACGCCACUGGCCGGGAUAGGAGCCAGGCUCACGUGAGAUCUGGAAGCCACCGCCUCCUGUUUUCCCUGUGUCCACAGGUGUGCGUGGGGGUCUGCAUGGGAUGGGGUGGUCUCCUGCGGUUGUGUCUGUGUAGUCUUGUCAGGCUUUUCUUCUGCUUACUUUGUAUCUUGGCAUUUUGUUCAUUUUCCAGACCGCUGCCUGGGGCACUAGCAGACGUAUGCUGGGGGUGGGGCGAUGAUGAAGGGGAGCUGUGCAGUCAGGGUCUGGGGUCCAGGGUCCCAGCCUGGGAGCUCCUGGCCACCACCUCUCCUGGCCUGGACCCCAUCCUGGGGGGUACCCUCUAGAGGCACCGCAGGAGAAGGAAGGAGGGAGGAAGAAGUGACAGGUGUCGGCCUUGAGGACAUGGUGUGUGGGGGUGUUGCGUGCUGGGGAAGGGCUUCCUCUCUUGGGACCUGUGGUGCUUGCUGAGUCUUUUUCUCUCGAUUGACUUCUGUGUGGAAACGGGCCAGGGCUGCAGAGAGGGUCUUCUGGGCACGGACGAGACUGAACCAGGCCUGGGACUCCAGCUACAGAGUUUGCUCCUGCAGAAACAUCCAGAAUUGUCUUUCCACUCCCGGCCAUGGUGGAGCUGGACCUGUCCCUGCCCUGAGCCAGAGGGACCCUCAGCACACAAAUGAGAUGUGAUGAGAUGUCACACAUGGUGAUGAGAUGCGGGUGGGACACUUAGAGGAAGUCCCCGGUUCUUUUACCGUAAACUCUACCAUGAAUACAAAGUGGGUUCCCAGGGCUGAGGGUCAGGGGCAGCCUCAUCAGUGAGAUGAUGCUUAGCAGGGACCUGAACACAACCCAGCUGGGCGUUUGGGACGAUUUCCAGGCAGAGGGAACUCUGUGCGAAGGCCUGGAGGCCUGAGUGCUCAAGGUUGUGCUGUGUGUGUGUGGUGGGGGGCGGGAUGGCAUGUGUGCAUGGCGGGGCGCUGUGGAGAGAGCCCUGGGCCAGACCGGGGGCUGCAGUGUCUUGGCUCAGCAUUCGUGGGGCCUCUGGGGUGAUGGGUGUAGGGUGGGAGGCUGUCCCAUCUGAAGUCCCUGGAGGCGAGGCUCCUGGCCGGGAUUGGGUGUUGAGGGAACAGAUCGGGACUUUCUGGGGGGCUGAACAUCGGAGGCCCCGCCUGGGCAGUGGGUAGUGGGCAGUGUGUGUCAGGAUCAUGAGGAGGCAGUGGGCUGCCGGUCCUCGUGAGGACAAUUCAUGUGAUUAUUGCUGGUGGUGUCCUGGUGGUGGUGGUGGUAUCAUCAGUGUUUUUUGGUCAACUCUAGGGCUCUGCUCUUUGCUGUCAUUUUGUUUCUUCCUGACCUUUGUGCUCAGACCUGUCUAGGAAACCACGUGCUCCUUACUUAGGACAUCGUGCAUGCCAGUCACUGUGCAGAAGGCAGAUAAAGUUUCUUUGUGAGAAAGAGCCAUCAGAAUGCACGCUGGGUCCCUGUGCAGCUCUGCUGCCCACUGUUCUGUCCUCAUGUUCUGUCCGGAUGUGGCAGUGGGCCGUGGGCUGAAUUUGUUUCCUUCCUCUGAAAACAUCCUCCUCUGCUGGAGGUGGUCCUUCUCUGGGGAAGUAGAAAUUUCAGCCCCCUUUCCCACUUCUGUUAUCUGAAUGCACAGAUGCUGUGAUGCUGCCUGGAAAUGCAGACGCGGCUCCACCCUGACCCUCGUGUCAGGAGCUGCCUCUUCCCAAGGUCCUGGGGGCCUGCAGGCCUUUCCGGCUACAAAGGACCUUUGGCUCCAGGGCAGGAUCUCAUCAGGGUCCUGGGAUUAAUGUCCUGGUCACCAGCGGGCCUGUGGCUCUAUGAGGCCCGGUGCUGUCUGCUGUCUUAGCGAGCCCUAUAAGCUGGAGGGGGUACUGGCAUGCAAUAGGGAGCCCACUUUUCUAAGGAAAGGGCCCAAGGGGAGGUGGCUGGAGGGACCCCAGGUGUUGGCACUGGUGUUGCAGCCGCACCUGCUCAGGUUUGAAGGCAUCGUUGAGUGAAGAAGCUGUUUGAUGUACGUUGGUGGCACUUGUUUGGAAAAUAUCGCCCGUGGAUCUCACAACUGUUGGUUGCAUUUUCCUUAAACAUUUCUCUUCUCAGAAUGAUGAGAAAAUUGCCUGUGUGGGAACUCAGAGGUGCAAAUUUGUUAGUCUCUCCUUUGACAGUGCUUUGUGUUCAGAGCUGUAGAUGAGCUGCCCCGGAUCAUUUCCAGGUAAAACUGCCCUUAUGAGGAGGAGAGUGGGAGAGUCCUGGAGAAGCUGCAGGGCCUGGGCCGCAGUGCCGCCCUGGCCUGGCAUGCAUCUGCCUUUGAAUCCGUGACUUAGAUUGUAAAUGGUGAAAUGGCCUGCUUCCUGUGGGAAAGCCCUGUUUUGAAAACCUUCCCCCUUUCAGGAGCCUGGGUGUGAAGGUGCGUGUUUGAGAUGUAGCCCUUCUGACGGCCAGCACGGAGGAGCCUUGGCCACUGCUGUUUUCCUGUGGUGCUGGUUGUGCUGGUCGGGUUCGCCUUGGGUAGGACCUGCCCACUCGUGGUGGCGGCUUUGCCCUGACCCGUCCACCUGCUCAUGGCUGGCAUCUGCCAGAUGGUGCACUGGUAUCCAGGCUCAUUCCAGGUCCCAGGCUGUGAGAAGGGAACAGUGUGGGGUGUUCUUCUGGUGCUGGGGGCAUUUCCAGCCCUGGUUCUCCGUGCAGGCGAUUCUUUCUCCCAGGGCACGGUGGGCAGAGUCGGGAGACGUUCUUGGUUGUCACACUGGGAGGUAUCUGGUGGGUAGAGACCAGGGUGCCCAUGGUGUCCUACAGUGGCCCCAGCAAGAACCAGCCCCGGGGUCAGUACUGCUGAGGCCGCAAAGCCCUGCUUUACAGCUGGUGGCGAUUUUGAUAGAUGAUCAUGGUGGGCAAAGGCUAGAACUCUACCUUGGCCAGGUAGUGGUAGAAAAGAUGUGCAAUCUCCAGUGUCUGCUUCCAUUCCUUAUUGUUUACUUAGGAUUAAACAAAAAUUCCAUUAUCCCAAACCCACUUUAUUUUUAUUUUUUUGUCUUUUUAGGACCGCACCCAGGCAUAUGGAGGUCACAGAUGUGGCUUGGAUCUGGCAUUUAUAUGGCUGUGGUGCAGGCCUCAGCUGCAGCUCUGAUUCGACCCCUCGCCUGGGAACUUCUAUAUGCUGCAGGUAUGGCCAUCAAAACAAAAAAUUUAAAAAGAAAUUUUAUAGGAGUUCCCACUGUGGUACAACAGGAUUAAUUGAUGGGGAAUUUAGCGGCAGGGAUUUGGGUUCAAUCCCUGGCCAGUACUGUGGGUUAAGGAUUUGGCAUUGCUGCAAGCUAUGGCAUAAGUUGCAGAUGCAGCUCAUAUCCUGUAUUGCUAUGGUUGUGGCAUAGGCCUCAGCUGCAGCUCCAAUUUAACCCCUAGUCUGGGAAUUUCCAUACGCUGCGGGUAUGGCAAAAAAAAAAAAAAGAAAAAAGAAAAA